rnacentral:rRNA from 1 species
UAGACUCCCACCCUUGUGUAUUAUUACUUUGUUGCUUUGGCAGGCUGCCUUUGCGUCUGCCAGAGGUUUAUCAAACUCUUUUUAUUAAUGUCGUCUGAGUACUAUAUAAUAGUUAAAACUUUCAACAACGGAUCUCUUGGUUCUGGCAUCGAUGAAGAACGCAGCGAAAUGCGAUAAGUAAUGUGAAUUGCAGAAUUCAGUGAAUCAUCGAAUCUUUGAACGCACAUUGCGCCCCUUGGUAUUCCGGGGGGCAUGCCUGUUCGAGCGUCAUUUCAACCCUCAAGCACAGCUUGGUAUUGAGCCCAUGUCAGCGAUGGCAGGCUCUAAAAUCAGUGGCGGCGCCGUUGGGUCCUGAACGUAGUAAUAUCUUUCGUUACAGGUUCUCAGCGUGCUUCUGCCAAAACCCAACUUUCUAGUGUUGACCUCGGAUCAGGUAGGGAUACCCGCUGAACUUAAGCAUAUCAAUAAGCGGAGGAAAGAAUCNUUACAGAGUUCGUGCCGAAAGGGUAGACCUCCACCUUGUGUAUUAUUACUUUGUUGCUUUGGCAGGCUGCCUUUGCGUCUGCAGAGGUUUAUCAAAUCUUUUUAUUAAUGUCGUCUGAGUACUAUAUAAUAGUUAAAACUUUCAA